rnacentral:rRNA from 1 species
ACCUACGGGGGGCAGCAGUAGGGAAUCUUCCACAAUGGGCGAAAGCCUGAUGGAGCAACGCCGCGUGGGUGAAGAAGGUCUUCGGAUCGUAAAACCCUUUUGUUAGAGAAGAAAGUGCGUGAGAGUAACCGUUCACGUUUCGACGGUAUCUAACCAGAAAGCCACGGCUAACUACGUGCCAGCAGCCGCCGUAAUACGUAGGUGGCAAGCGUUAUCCGGAUUUAUUGGGCGUAAAGGGAACGCGGGCGGUCUUUUAAGUCUGAUGUGAAAGCCUUCGGCUUAACCGGAGUAGUGCAUUGGAAACU